rnacentral:misc_RNA from 1 species
CUGCCAUCGAAGUUUAGUUUCAAGUCUGUGAUAUUAGUUCGUGGGAUUUCUGCAACUACCAAAGAAUUAAACCCUAUUUUUUCUCUGGGUGAUUCUGGAAAACGGCGCAACUUCGAAUUCUGUCUCCUCAGAUUUCAUUCUUUGCUCUCCCAAACAGUUCAAAACCGAAUUGACUGCUCCCACAACCUUUGGGAAACCUUCUCUUUACUUUCCCGGAAACUACAAAUUUGCUCGCAAUCCAAAUGCAAGACAGACGCCUCUAGAAUCUUUGUGGUCAUGCCUUGCAACCGCUGCGGACACAGAUCCCUAAUCCGUGACGACGUCACUGGCUUACUGGUUUGUGAGUCAUGCGGUGCCGGCCAAGAAUUCGACAACUACGAAGCUCGCA